AACGAACGCUGGCGGCAGGCUUAACACAUGCAAGUCAAGCGCCCCGCAAGGGGAGCGGCAGACGGGUGAGUAACGCGUGGGAAUCUACCCAUCUCUACGGAAUAACGCAUGGAAACGUGUGCUAAUACCGUAUACGUCCUUCGGGAGAAAGAUUUAUCGGAGAUGGAUGAGCCCGCGUUGGAUUAGCUAGUUGGCGGGGUAAAGGCCUACCAAGGCGACGAUCCAUAGCUGGUCUGAGAGGAUGAUCAGCCACACUGGGACUGAGACACGGCCCAGACUCCUACGGGAGGCAGCAGUGGGGAAUAUUGGACAAUGGGCGCAAGCCUGAUCCAGCCAUGCCGCGUGAGUGAUGAAGGCCCUAGGGUUGUAAAGCUCUUUCACCGGUGAAGAUAAUGACGGUAACCGGAGAAGAAGCCCCGGCUAACUUCGUGCCAGCCGCCGCGGUAACAC
rnacentral:rRNA from 1 species